rnacentral:rRNA from 1 species
GACGAACGCUGGCGGCGUGCUUAACACAUGCAAGUCGAGCGAGGCCCUUCCUUCGGGAAGGUGUCCUAGCGGCGAACGGGUGAGUAACACGUGGGCAACCUGCCCUCAGCUCUGGGAUAACUCCGGGAAACCGGGGCUAAUACCGGAUACGACCUCUAAGGGCAUCCGAAGAGGUGGAAAGUUUUUCGGCUGAGGAUGGGCCCGCGGCCUAUCAGCUUGUUGGUGGGGUGACGGCCUACCAAGGCGACGACGGGUAGCCGGCCUGAGAGGGUGACCGGCCACACUGGGACUGAGACACGGCCCAGACUCCUACGGGAGGCAGCAGUGGGGAAUAUUGCGCAAUGGGCGAAAGCCUGACGCAGCGACGCCGCGUGAGGGACGAAGGCCUCGGUUGUAACCGU